GAUGAAGAACGCAGCGAAAUGCGAUAAGUAAUGUGAAUUGCAGAAUUCAGUGAAUCAUCGAAUCUUUGAACGCACAUUGCGCCCGCCAGUAUUCUGGCGAGCAUGCCUGUUCGAGCGUCAUUUCAACCAUCAAGCCCCAGGCUUGUGUUGGGGACCUGCGGCUGCCGCAGGCCCUGAAAACCAGUGGCGGGCUCGCUGUCACACCGGGCGUAGUAGAUUUUAUCUCGCUCAGGGCGUGCUGCGGGUUCCGGCCGUUAAAAAGCCUUUUUUACCCAAGGUUGACCUCGGAUCAGGUAGGAAGACCCGCUGAACUUAAGCAUAUCAAUAAGCGGAGGA
rnacentral:misc_RNA from 1 species